AUGGCUCAGGAUGAACGCUAGCGGCAGGCUUAACACAUGCAAGUCGAGGGGCAGCAUAGAAGUAGCAAUACUUGGUGGCGACCGGCGCACGGGUGAGUAACGCGUAUGCAACCUACCUAUCAGAGGGGAAUAACCCGGCGAAAGUCGGACUAAUACCGCAUAAAACAGGGGCACCGCAUGGUGAUAUUUGUUAAAGAAAUUCGCUGAUAGAUGGGCAUGCGUUCCAUUAGGUAGUUGGUGAGGUAACGGCUCACCAAGCCGACGAUGGAUAGGGGAACUGAGAGGUUGGUCCCCCACACUGGUACUGAGACACGGACCAGACUCCUACGGGAGGCAGCAGUGAGGAAUAUUGGUCAAUGGGCGAGAGCCUGAACCAGCCAAGUCGCCGUGAAGGAAGAAGGAUCUAUGGUUCGUAAACUUCUUUUGCAGGGGAAUAAAGUGCAGGACGUGUCCUGUUUUGUAUGUACCCUGGGAAUAAGGAUCGGCUAACUCCGUGCCAGCAGCCGC
rnacentral:rRNA from 1 species